rnacentral:rRNA from 1 species
AAUUAUACCGUGGAAACUGCGAAUGGCUCAUUAAAUCAGUUAUCGUUUAUUUGAUAGUACCUUACUACUUGGAUAACCGUGGUAAUUCUAGAGCUAAUACAUGCUGAAAACCCCAACUUCGGGAGGGGUGUAUAUAUUAGAUAAAAAACCAACGCCCUUCGGGGCUUCUUGGUGAUUCAUGAUAUCUUUACGGAUCGCAUGGCCUUGCGCCGGCGACGGUUCAUUCAAAUUUCUGCCCUAUCAACUUUCGAUGGUAAGGUAUUGGCUUACCAUGGUUUCAACGGGUAACGGGGAAUUAGGGUUCGAUUCCGGAGAGGGAGCCUGAGAAACGGCUACCACAUCCAAGGAAGGCAGCAGGCGCGCAAAUUACCCAAUCCCGACACGGGGAGGUAGUGACAAUAAAUACUGAUACAGGGCUCUUUUGGGUCUUGUAAUUGGAAUGAGUACAAUUUAAACCUCUUAACGAGGAACAAUUGGAGGGCAAGUCUGGUGCCAGCAGCCGCGGUAAUUCCAGCUCCAAUAGCGUAUAUUAAAGUUGUUGCAGUUAAAAAGCUCGUAGUUGAACCUUGGGUCUGGCUGGCAGGUCCGCCUCACCGCGUGUACUUGUCCGGCCGGGCCUUCCUUCUGGAGAACCUCAUGCCCUUCACUGGGCGUGUUGGGGACCAGGACUUUUACUUUGAAAAAAUUAGAGUGUUCAAAGCAGGCCUUUGCUCGAAUACGUUAGCAUGGAAUAAUAGAAUAGGACGUGCGGUCCUAUUUUGUUGGUUUCUAGGACCGCCGUAAUGAUUAAUAGGGACAGUCGGGGGCAUCAGUAUUCAAUUGUCAGAGGUGAAAUUCUUGGAUUUAUUGAAGACUAACUACUGCGAAAGCAUUUGCCAAGGAUGUUUUCAUUAAUCAGUGAACGAAAGUUAGGGGAUCGAAGACGAUCAGAUACCGUCGUAGUCUUAACCGUAAACUAUGCCGACUAGGGAUCGGGCGAUGUUCUUUUUCUGACUCGCUCGGCACCUUACGAGAAAUCAAAGUUUU